GGUUUAGCACUGCACCGGGGAUGAACAACUUUUGUCACGUGACCACAAAAGUCAACGCAGGUUGUUGAAUUACAUCAGGAAUCCCGCUCCGUCAGAAUGACACGAAAAAAGUCUCACCUCGGGCGGACCAAACGAAGGACUGGAUUGCAUCACACUUCUGAAUUCCUACCGCCAACAACCUCGCCUUUUCGAACAGCAAUGAAACGAAAAUUAACACCAAUGAAGUCUCCAAUUCAGCAACCCUUUCGAUCUCCUUUGUAUAAAGCAAAACGAAAAUCGCACCGAGAACUAUUUAAAGACAAUGAUAAUCGCGAUACUAACUGGGUUAUUGAUAUGAACUCUCAAAUUCAAAGUGACAACGCGCCAAAUCCAAUGAAUGAUAUUUUUGACAAAGAGGAGAACAACAAUAAGUGCAGUGCAACACAAACACAGAAUGUUACCGUUGAAAAUUGCACACAAACGGAAAAUGAUUAUGCAUCAAAUAUACUUACCAACCCUAAUAUAGCAAAUAACAUCGCAAAAGAAUUAAAGGAAAUGGUGGACGUUGUCGUCAAAAAGGUUAAUUGCCAAGUUGAAGAAGAUCAAUUUCAUGUAUUCACUAAGAGUCUAGGACACGGGUUCGAACCGUCGACGAGUACAGGGGUCAUAAUUGCCUGAAAAUGAUACUCAGUACUGUUAAUAAUUCAUGAUUCGACAUAAAAUGUGAUUACAUUUUAUUGUCUUUGCUUCGGAUGAUGUCAAGCUGAAAAACUCGCUCUCAGUAAAUAAGAUGGUAAAUGUUGUAAAAUAAAUAGUUUUCGAUAACAAAUAUCAUGUUUCAGGGACCACGAAUUUGACAUUCCAAAACGGAAGGAACCUAAACGAAAAUUUGACACCGUGUCAACAAGCAGAAACGCUCUCCAGAAGGGAACGUUGGGUGCCGAUGGGAGAGGGCAAGACGAAAUGACAGCAAAAUGCUUCUAACAUCAAAAAUGGGAAUUGACAUUGACCCGUAAAAGGAAAUCAUAAUAUCAUACGACAGUUUGUAGUUCUUUAAAAGACAGCUGUCAUUUUUGAUAUUCGUUAACCAACGUUACCUAUAUUGAUUCCGUGUAAUGCUACUGAAUUUGAUUUUGUGUUGCUCUUUCUAUGUUUAUGCAUUGAGGAGCUACCAAUAUUGGGGCCGUAUAAUAUGCUGCCUAUAUUGACGCUGUGGGAUGCUUCAUUUAACGAGGCCUACCGGUAUAUUCAACCUUUUUGGGGGAUUUGAAACAACAACAGACAUAUUGGAUCUAACUUUAUUUUGUUUGCUGUUAUUUGUUUCAAGUUUUAAAAUUACAGUUUCUAAAAAAUGC